GACGUAGGGCGCGAGCGUUGUCCGGAUUUAUUGGGCGUAAAGAGCUCGUAGGCGGCUUGUCGCGUCGAAUGUGAAAUCUCAGGGCUCAACUCUGACAUUGCAUUCGAUACGGGCAGGCUCGAGUUCGGUAGGGGAGACUGGAAUUCCUGGUGUAGCGGUGAAAUGCGCAGAUAUCAGGAGGAACACCGGCGGCGAAGGCGGGGUCUCUGGGCAGUAACUGACGCUGAGGAGCGAAAGCGUGGGGAGCGAACAGGA
rnacentral:rRNA from 1 species